rnacentral:lncRNA from 1 species
ACACAGCAAGGUCCUGUCUCUUAAAAACAAAAAGUCUAAAGUUCACCAGUUUCUCUCUCUUCCUUUCAAACAACAAAAGGACUAACAUUUCAACUAUCAACGUGCCUCUCCAGUUUUACAAGUUAUUGCUGCCCAGUAUUUCAGUUCUAAGACAUGAAAGCCAUUUGCAGCAAAGACUGAACCAACCAACAUUUAAAUAAAAUCUGAGAACAAGGCCAUUUCUAAAAUAAGAUACAAAACCAGGUGAAAGGCCAGUAUUGCUCUGAGAAGAGACCAGGAGAAAAAGAAAACACUCGGCACUAAGAAUCAUUCUUGUGCCAAACUAUGAAGAGAGGAAAGCUAUAUAAGGAAAAUCCAUGAGCUUGGAGUUAAUGUUUAGUAUAACAAAAGUACAUUCAAUACACAUCAACCUAGAUAGCUACAAAAAUGGCUCUUUGGAAAAUAAAAAGCAAAAUUGAAAAAAAAAAAAAAAAAAAAGGUUCUACAAAGUUCACUUUCUCCCGUGUAUGGAGUUUUAUGAAGCCCUCAAGAUGGCAAAUAGAUUAAUAUAAAGUGGUCACUGAUUGCCUGGCCAUUUAUUCUUUCUGGCCCUGAAAUUUCACAGUGAAUCUUAACAUUUUGAAAGAACAGAGGAACUGCUAUUCUUUAGUUUGGGAAGAACUUAUUCAGCAUAAGACUGAUCAGCAACUUUCACUACACCCUUCCCAAACCACCCCCAACCUCCAUAUCACUUCUUUACUGUUAGUUUAGUAAAAGUUCAUUGACCUUAAGUGAACUCCCAGAAAACUAUUAAACUGGAUUUUAAAAGUU